GAGUAACACAAGAUAUGUCACAACAGGUCUAAAAAUGUGUGUCAUGACAAGUUAUGUCAAGUUAUGUCAAGUUAUGUCAGCUGUUAUGACAUAUUAUGACAUGGUUUCCAAAUGAACAUGUAAGGAACAGAGACACCUGCUUAGAAUUUCAGGUCAAUGUUGAUGCUUGAACCUAUGCCAAUGAAUAUGUCCAGUGUGGCAUGAUAAAUAAAACAAAGCUAUAACAGGAAUGUUACAAUAUAAUUCUGCCUACGUUGAUGUAUAUGAAGACGUGUGAUCCGUGUGUUUGUUUUGGGGGGCUGCGUCCUGUUGGAAAUUCCCACUCUCCUUAUAAAGAUGGUCUUGAAUACUUCCAUUAUCUUGUUGCUGUGACAACCAUGACUUCAAAGAAAUUCUGUCAGAAGAAAAAGGUGGGGUGGGAGAGGGAGAGAAAAAAAAUGUGUUCAGCAAAAAAAAAAUAGCAGAGGGGGUUUGACAGUGAGCUGUGAGUUCGUGAUGGGGAGGGAGGUGAAGGGGAGAGGGAAGCAGUUGAGGGCGGUCUAUGGAGAGAAAGGGGGAGGGAGGUGAAGAGGAGAGGGUAGCAGUUGAGGUGCAGUCUAUGGAGAGAAAGGGGGAGGGAGGUGAAGAGGAGAGGGUAGCAGUUGAGGUGCGGUCUACGGAGAGAAAGGGGGAGGGAGGUGAAGAGGAGAGGGUAGCAGUUGAGGUGCAGUCUAUGGAGAGAAAGGGGGAGGGAGGUGAAGAGGAGAGGUUAGCAGUUGAGGUGCGGUCUACGGAGAGAAAGGGGGGGGUUAAGAGGAGAGGGUAGUAGUUGAGGUGCGGUCUACAGAGAGAAAGGGGGGGGUGAAGAGGAGAGGGAAGCAGUUGAGGUGCGGUCUACGGAGAGAAAGGGGGAGGGAGGUGAAGAGGAGAGGGAAGCUGUUGAGGUGCGGUCUACAGAGAGAAAGGGGGUGAAGAGGAGAGGGAAGCAGUUGAGGUGCGGUCUACGGAGAGAAAGGGGAGGGUGAAGAGGAGAGGGAAGCAGUUGAGGUGCGGUCUACGGAGAGAAAG
ensembl:lncRNA